AGAGUUUGAUCCUGGCUCAGGACGAACGCUGGCGGCGUGCCUAAUACAUGCAAGUAGAACGCUGAAGAGAGGAGCUUGCUCUUCUUGGAUGAGUUGCGAACGGGUGAGUAACGCGUAGGUAACCUGCCUUGUAGCGGGGGAUAACUAUUGGAAACGAUAGCUAAUACCGCAUAACAAUGGAUGACCCAUGUCAUUUAUUUGAAAGGGGCAAAUGCUCCACUACAAGAUGGACCUGCGUUGUAUUAGCUAGUAGGUGAGGUAACGGCUCACCUAGGCGACGAUACAUAGCCGACCUGAGAGGGUGAUCGGCCACACUGGGACUGAGACACGGCCCAGACUCCUACGGGAGGCAGCAGUAGGGAAUCUUCGGCAAUGGGGGCAACCCUGACCGAGCAACGCCGCGUGAGUGAAGAAGGUUUUCGGAUCGUAAAGCUCUGUUGUAAGUCAAGAACGAGUGUGAGAGUGGAAAGUUCACACUGUGACGGUAGCUUACCA
rnacentral:rRNA from 1 species